CGCUUAACACAUGCAAGUCGAACGCAGUAGCAAUACUGAGUGGCAGACGGGUGAGUAUAAUGUGGGAAUCUGCCUUUUGGUUCGGAAUAACUCGGGGAAACCUGAGCUAAUACCGGAUAAGCCCUUACGGGGAAAGAUUUAUCGCCGAAAGAUGAGCCCGCACUUGAUUAGCUUGUUGGUGAGGUAAAGGCUCACCAAGGCAACAAUCAAUAGCUGUUCUUAGAGGAAGACCAGCCACAUUGGGACUGAGACACGGCCCAGACUCCUACGGGAGGCAGCAGUGGGGAAUCUUGCACAAUGGGGGAAACCCUGAUGCAGCGAUGCCGCGUGAGUGAAGAAGGCCUUUGGGUUGUAAAACUCUUUCGUUGGGGAAGAAAAUGACUGUACCCAAAUAAGAAGGUCCGGCUAACUUCGUGCCAGCAGCCGCGGUAAUACGAAGGGACCUAGCGUAGUUCGGAAUUACUGGGCUUAAAGAGCUCGUAGGUGGUUAAAAAAGUUGGUGGUGAAAUCCCAAGGCUUAACCUUGGAACUGCCAUCAAAACUUUUUAGCUAGAGUGUGAUAGAGGAAAGUGGAAUUUCUAGUGUAGAGGUGAAAUUCGUAGAUAUUAGAAAGAACACCAAAAGCGAAGGCAACUUUCUGGAUCACUACUGACACUGAGGAGCGAAAGCAUGGGUAGCGAAGAGGAUUAGAUACCCUCGUAGUCCAUGCUGUAAACGAUGUGUGCUAGACGUUGGAAAUUUAAUUUUCAGUGUCGCAGCAAAAGCGUUAAGCACACCGCCUGGGGAGUAC
rnacentral:rRNA from 1 species